GCGUCAGUAGUGCAACUGUUUGUGCACGCGCUCCCGGAUAGAGUGAGAUGUGGGUUCGAGUCCCGCUUGGCGCA